rnacentral:lncRNA from 1 species
CUCUCCUCUGCCACUUUUGAAAUUGCCGCAGCUCCUCUCCCUCUAUGCCAUUUCAGACUCCUUUCACUCCGAUAACGACAAAACGGAGAGGUCUCCCGACGACCCUCACGAUAGUAAGUCCUCCUUGGCUUAUCCUUUUCGUUUUGUUUAUUAUUAUUUUUUAAAAGGAGAAAGAAAAGAAGAAGAUAGCAAAAUAAUAAUAAAAAACCAGUAAAAUCAAAGAAAAACCAGAAAAAAAUAAAAUCAUCUUUUGAAAAAUAUUCUUUGUAUUCUCAAUAUUCUCUCUGUUUUCAAAUAUAUUUUACACCGAAAAAAAUCCCUCCCCCUUGUUACAGACUUUCAUCGGCUUUAUAUAGCCGAUUAAAACUAAAAAUCUGAAAAAAAAAUCAAAAACCCCACUUCUUUCUGUUAUUUGCUGUGCUUGUGUCCCCCUUUUUUGCAGGUUUGGUGACCAUGGAGUGCGCGCGACGGACGCGGAGCGACAAACACGGUGUGCAGGCACUGUUGCGGCGUGCGUGUGGGAGCUGCUGCGCCUAGGCUUCUUGCUGGUGUUUUGGGCCAUUUUCUGUUGGACUAGGGUUGAAAUUGGCUAUUGGGUUUUAAUUUUAUUGGGCCUGCUAUUGUAUUUUAUUAUUGAUUGGGCAAGGCAAAUAAUUGGUAUUACAGCUGCCCCUCUUUGCUCGUUAUCGUGUGACGAGAAUGGAGCAAAGACUUAAAAAGACUAAUUUUUGCCUGGCCAUAUGGACCUUAGCAUUAGUAGCCUCGUUCCUUCCCUACUGCAUCUUCAGAGGUAUAGGAACUGGUGUUUCAAUCUACUCUACUGUAAUGUCAGAGAGAUAGGAUUCGUACAUUGUAGCUUCUCACAAGAACAAAAUUUGUUAUCUUUAAUCUGCUCCACUGCAACUUCAGGAAGAUAAGACUUAUAGCUUCAACUUGUUCUGCUACAAAAUAAAUCUGAUGCGAUCUGCUCUGCUGCAACUUCAAAGAGAUGAGAUCUGUGGUUUUAAUCCACUCCAUUGCAACUUCAAGGAGAUAGGAUUGUUGACUUUAAUCUGCUCCAAUGCAACUUCAGGGAGGUAAAAUCUGCCAUCUUCGAUUUGCUCCACUACUGCUUAGGGAGAUAAGAUCUGUAAUUUUCAAUCUAUUCCACUGCUACCCAGGGAGAUAGAAUUACUGGCUUCAAUGUACUCCACUGUAACCUCAGGGAGGUAAAAUCUGCCAUCUUUGAUCUGCUCCACUACUGUUUAGGGAGAUAAGAUCUGUAAACUUCAAUUUGUUCAACUGCAAUGUCGGGGAAACCAGAUCCGCCAUCGUAGCUUCAAUCUGUUCCACUGCACUGCUAAGGAAGUAAGAAUUACUGGCCUCAAUGUACUCCACUGCAACUUCAGGGAGGUAAAAUCCGCCAUCUUCGAUCUGCUCCACUACUACUUAGGGAGGCAAGAUCUAUAAUCUUCAAUCUACUUCGCCGCCAGUAUGGGAAGAUAAAAUAUGUAUAUUCGAUCCACUUCGCUACCAAUAUAGGAAGACAGGACCUACUAUCUUUGAUCUACUUCACGUCAGUACAUGAAGACACGGUCUGUUUUCUUCGACCUACUCCACCACCAGUAUGGGGAUGCAAGAUCUGUUUCUUUGAUCUACUUCAUGCCAGUACAUAAAGACAAGAUCUGCUUUCUUUGAUCUGCUUCGCCACCAGUAUGGGAAGGCAAGAUAUGUAUAUUCGAUCCACUUCGCUACCAAUAUAGGAAGACAUGACCUACUAUCUUUGAUCUACUUCACGCCAGUACAUGAAGACACGAUCUGUUUUCUUUGACCUACUCCACCACCAGUAUGGGGGGACAAGAUCUGGUAUAUUCGAUCUACUUCACGCCAAUACAUGAAGACAAGAUCUUUUGUAUUCAACCUGCUCCACUGUUGCUUAGGGAGAUAAGGCUUCAUGAUUUCACUGAUCUGCUCUCUGUAGAACAUGACCUGUAUGAUUUAUUUUAUGAACCAAUUAUGCCUAAUGAUUAGGAUGUCAUGAUCAGAAUGAAUCAAAUGCCCCUAACUAGACAUGUAUGAAUGACAUUUGAAUGAAAGCAAAAUGUCAUGAAAAUGAUAUUUUAACGCUUGAGUUAUUAUUACUCCAUGUUUAUUAAGGUCUUAUCGCUUAAUAUACUAUAGCGCCUUUAUCCUAGGCUGAAGAACCCAAUAAGUACUUGACCAAAUUGCCCCCCACUGUAAACCUCCAAGUUUGAUCCACUGGGAUGCAAAAAAUUGUACCAUCUUUUCCCGUUGUAACCCAAGAGUAAAAGAUUUGGCCUUUUCUCAAUCCUCUGUUAUCACAAUACAUGAUGUGAAACUUUUUGGUCUCUUACACCAUUCCCAGGGUGUUGUACCAAAUGCUCAUGCACAAAUGAAGAAAUCUUAUCCAAUAACAACUUCCUCUUAUUAUUCGGUGAUCAUUGUUUGCUUGUUCAUUGAAUCUUUGUCACCAACACGAUAUCUUGCCAUUUUGUUAGACAAGAAAAUUCAAAGGGAUAGUCUUAAUUUAGACUCUUCUUUAUCAUUCCAACCUAGUGCGUUCUAAACAAUAGUCCUGUUUGAGGUUCCUAUAUUAUUCAGAAACUUCUAGAGUAAUAUGCAAAACUUCCCUUGUGAAAGUUUUAUUAGUCCAUUAAUCAUUAUUCUAAUGCAACAUGCUUGCAAAAAAGAUUAUGGAUAAGAAUAGAGUUGGUUCUGAGAUAGCUUGAAAUGAAUAAGUUGUCAAGGAUAAUAAAGAUAAAUGACAAAGAAAUGGAUUUAGAAAUGUGUAUCUUGGAAAUGAAUGAAGUGUUCCAAGAAUAACAAAAAUGGUAUAAGGAUUAGGUGCCCUAGAUAUCGUAGCUUGAACUUCUCUGUACAAACUUGCUGAAGACCUUUCUGGGUUUGACAUGUGUUUAGGAGAUCUACCAUACUCUAUCGAUGCCCCAAGAUGUCGCAUACCCUUUCCUGUUGAUUCUGGUAUAGCAAGACCACUGUAUAUCCCAUUCUGAUCAGUAUUUGAGCUGCUCUGAUUACUUCAUGCCCCAUUCUGAUCAAUAUUUGAGCCGCCCUUUUCGGGUUUUCAACUCAAAUCCCCUUUGGUCUAAGGCGCCCUUUGCGAGUUUUCACCUUAGCCUCUCCAUUUUUACUUUUUCAUUUUCAUUUUCAUCACUUCUUUUUUUCUUUUUUCUUUUUUUUUUGGGACUCAAACUGCCCUUUGCGGGUUUUUACCUUGGUCUUCUCCUUCUUUAAGCAAAGUAUUUCCUGACUGAAUCUGAGUUUACAAGACUUUGCAGGUUUAUCAUCCAUCUUACUCAAAAUUAAAGCUCCUUUGGAAAAGGCCUUCUUUAUAACAUAAGGUUCUUCCCAAUUUGGCAUCCAUUAUAAUUUUUGUAGAGUGAGGAGCUUCUUCAGCAUUAGGUCGCCAUCGUGGAAUUCUCUGGGACAAACCUUUUGCUAUAGGCUCGCAUCAUUCAUUUCUUGGUAUAUUUAACCUUGAUGAAUAGUUUCUAGCCUUUUUCUUCAACUAGGUUUAACUAGUCGUAUCGGGAUUGGAUCCUCAUCCUACUUUAGCUCAGCCAAAACUCAAAGAGAAAGAAUUUCAACUUCAAUGAAAAACGUGAUAAACUGGAAAGAGUGGCAUUGCCCCGAUAGAGUUUUCAUUGCACCAUUCAUGAUAUUCACCUUGAACAUACUGCAAAUUUCUGAUAUCGUGCUGUUGCUCAGAUUGCAAUGACGGCGCUUAAACCGAGUACAUCCUGGUAUCACCAUGCGAAGGCAUCUUUGAAUGCUUGAAGUAACCCAACAACGUAUUGCUUUUUCGGUCAUGCAUGUUCCCUCAAGGUCACAGUUUCUAUUGUCUCCUCAUGAGGUAAAAUUUUCUUCCUGCUCUACCAUCCUUAAUAAGUCCAGAAAUAAGCUACGAUCCAUGUCAUCUUCAAAGUUGUGAGAUCCCUCUAAACACAUGUCUCACUCAAAAGGAGAUUCUAAAUCUGUAGCAGUGUCAUUCAUGUCAUUGAUAUUUGGGGACACAUAAUGGGUACCAAAAAAUAUAAAAAAGAAUGUAUGAAUAAUAUGAAUGAAUGAAUGAAUGAUUUGGCAGGAGAAAUCCAAUAAAAUAAAGAAAACGUAAAGACUGAAAGAACAUUUGCUCAAAGAUGAUUGCAAUAAUGUAUUCAUUAAAAAUAAUAAUGUUCAGACCUGAGCCUAUUUCACAAAGGAGUUCUUAUUACUUCUAGGCUAAAAGCAACAAAUGUGUUUUGAACAUUACUCUAACAGACUCUAAAUAAUAUAGGGGUUUCCUCUGCAGUCCCAUUAUUUUUAACAGCUCCCAGGCGAAUAUUUGACCAGAAAGCAUUGCAUUCCCUCCAUUAUCAAUCAUGAUUGGGUAAUGGGUUUUCUGCACUUGAUGACUCACCAAACUUGACAACACCCAUGUCGAUGAGUCUUUCAACUUGCUUCUUGAAGGCAAUGCAAUUCUCAAUCGAGUGUCCCGUAAUUCCCGCAUGGUAUUCACAUUGCGCGUUCGCAUCAUACCAUUUGGGAUACGGAGGUUGUAGAGGCUUCAUAGGAAAAGGGGAAAUAACAUGGGUAUCAAACAGAUUUUGAUACAGUUUCCUAUAUGGUACUGGAAUUGGCGUGAAUCGGGGCCUCUCUGUGUUUUGUCCUGUACCAGCUUCCUGUCUCGAUGAACCUUGCUGGUUAGUAGCCACCUUUCUUGGCUGACUUACAGUAACUGAUUUAGAGUAACCCAUGUUGUUCACCUCAUCUUCUCUUCUCCUUGAGACUGACCUCUUGUUACUCUCUCCAGCAUCGAUCUUUCUAUUUCUUAUGGCAUUUUCGAUCAUCUUGCCAUUCAUGAUUAUGUCGGGAAAUUUUUUUGUGGCACUCCCCAACAUAUGUGUAAUGAAUGGUGCCUUCAGUGUGUUAAUGAACAUCAUAGUUAUUUCUUUUUCCAAGAGCGGUGGCUGAACUUGGACUGCGAUCUCCCUCCAUCUCUGUGCAUACUGCCUAAAGCUUUCACUCGGCUUCUUCUCCAUGUUUUGAAGGGUGAUUCUAUCAGGAGCCAUGUCUGUUACAUGACUAUAUUGUUUCAUGAACGCCUGUGCCAAAUCCCUCCAUGAACCAAUCGUGGUACGACUCAAUUAGUUGUACCAUUUAGAUGUUGCCCCUGAAAGGCUAUCCUGGAAACAAUGUAUCAAUAGCUGGUCAUUGUUAACGUAUCCAGCCAUUCGCCUGCAGAACAUGGUGAUGUGAGCUUCUGGGCAGCUUGUCCCAUUGUACUUUUCAAAUUCAGGCAUCUUAAACUUAUGAUGAAGUACUAAAUCUGGUACUAAACUCAGCUCUUUUGCGUCAAUGCCUCGAUAACUCUCAGUGACCUCCAUCGCCUUGAACUUCUCCUCGAGCCACCUACACCUUUCCUCUAACUGUUUCGGUAACUCCUCCUUCAUUCUUUCCUUCUCAACCACUUCAUCAAAGUCAGGAAUGACAGAGUUAACAGGAUUAUUUUCAGGAUUAGAACCCGGCCCAGUUUGGAGGUUCGAAAUACCAGCCCGAAACUGCUGAGGCAUGAUAGUGACAGUAGAUUUGCGCGGGUAUUCAGCUUGGGCUCGCAUAUGUGGAGGGGUGAAACCUGGAGUGUAAAGAAUUUCAUCAUCAUUUCCCUCAUCGACAUUUGCCAUGGGACCCUUUCCUUUAUCACUUCCCUUAGUUAUCAAUUGGGUUAACUUUGCCACUAUAUCUUCUUGGGAUUCUCGCAUCUUCUCAGACAUCUCUUGUUUCAUCUUGUCUAACCGCUCCUGCAUUUGUAGUUGAAGCCGGUCUUGCAUCUCCUUCUGGUACUGUUCGAGCUUUUCUAAUCUCUGAUCCAUAUCUUUUGUCUUUGCUCGAGUGCCGUAUCGGUGUUGGGUUGGUUGGUUGGAUUCCAGGUUAAUUGAGCAAUAAUUUUAGUUAAUUAGGAUCUUUGAAUAAUCUUUGAUGCAUAUGAUGUAAUGAAAUACCAAUGCAUGAAAUGAAUGCAUAAAGAGACGUUGAUUCUAAUUCAAUUCCAUUUAGAAAACCUUACUAGAGGACAAAUUUCUUUACAUAAAGCGGAUAUAUAUACGGCUUUGCCCUCAUACUCGAAGCAAAGACAUCUUCUCCUUUUUCAUCCAGAUGUUAAGAUAAACGUCGCGAACUUCCAAUGGAUAUCACUGCUAGCUCCUUCAGCUUGAUUCUUGUCGUAAUCCGUUGUCUGCCUAUCCUCGUAAUGCUCAUUAGCUUCUUUAAGAAAUUUGGAAUGUUGAAAGCUCUUAGACAAAUCAUCUUGAAUCCUCGGGCCCCAAAGUAAAGUCACGAAUUCUUCUAUCGCCCUUCUUGUAUUUCUUGGAAUAUAUUCAGGCUGCCGUACUAUUUUCCAUUUUAUCAAGAAACCCAUUUUCUUAUGAUAGGCUUUCUAAAUUAGUAAUCAAACUUGAAUCAACAUCUCUUUUCUACAAUGCAAAUGCAAUGCAAUCAUAACCAAAACAAAACAAAACGGGUUAGUAUCGGGUAUAAACAUUAAAUCCAAUACAAUCAAGAAAUAAUAAAAACUCCUAGUCAGGUAUCUACUAAGGUUUAGAGUAAUUCUACCUAGGGUAAGUUCCUAAGGUUCACUAUAUGCGGUUUGGCUUCUAAGGUAAAGGUACCCGAACCAGCAGAUUUCUCGAUCUUCACCCAUUAUAGGCUCAUAUGGAUCAAGUUCAGUUCAGGGGAAUACAUUUCCCUAUGGCUGCACGGAGAUGAAAAUCUCACGAAGACAUAGGUACGGAUGUAUCCCGGAAGCAGUCUACUACCCUGCACGAAGGUGAAAACCUCACGAAGGACUAGUUUCUCACUCCCAUUUAAGGGUAAAAUGCAAAAUGCAAAUGCAAAGUUACCAACAUACUAUGGUAAAAAAAUGAGUAUGAAGGGAAAUCAUGAUUUUAAAACCCAAAUUUGAUUUUUCGAUCACAAGACAGACAAAUAACCAAUUUAUGGCUCGACUCUCUAGUGUCCCCAGCGGAGUCGCCAAGCUGUCGAAACCGUUUUUUGAAAACAAAAACUUAGUUGUCGACUUUUAAAAAAAAUAAAACUGGAGUCGCCACCGAUCCUUUUAUUAAGGUGUGAUCGGCCCACCUUAAAAAAAUAUUUUGGCCUACGAAUUUUGAGAAAACGAGUCCGGGAGUCAGUUACGCACGAGGAAGGGUUAGCACCCUCGUAACGCCCAAAAUCGGUACCAAAUUGAUUAUUUGAUGUCUUAGUGUCGAAAGUUAAAAAAAAUUUAAAAAUAAGCUUGAAUGAUGAAAUUUGCAAAAGGAUAACCAAUUGUUCAAGUCAUGUAAAGAAAUCGGGUCCCAAUACGUUAGGGUACGAUUCCUCAUAAUCUCCGAACUUUGAAUAUCACUUUUAUUUUAUGCGAAAAUCUUCAUUUCGAGAAAGUAACAGGCCACACCCAAUACGUUAGGGCACAACAAGUUAAGUUCCCAAAAAUGAUUUUUAUACUAAUGCAUUUUGAAUAAAGAAUAGUCUCAGUCAUUUAAGAUUGACAAAGAAAAUUAGAACCCAAUACGUUAGGGCUCAAUUUCCCUCAAAAAUCCCAAACCUCAAAUAAUGCUUUUAUUCAAAAAAAAACCUUUAAAUCAAGAAAAUAACCUUGAUGAAUGGUUAAAACCAAAAAAUAUUUUCAAAAGGGUAUGUUAAAGUUAUUAUACAAUAUGAUACAGAUCCUUUAAUUUACAGCAUAUACGAAUAAAUAUUCGCAAAUAUAUAUAUACAAAUACAAUAUAUCAGUAAAGUUGCAAACAUAUGUACACAUAUAUCAAACACACAUACCAGCAUACAUCUAAAAAGAGAGAAUGGAAUAUAUCAAAUAAAACAAAUACAAAUACAUGUGUUGAAAACAAAAUAAAAGUAUAAAAAUACGCAUAUAUAUAUUUACAAAGAAAAACAAAACAAUAUAUAUAAUAUAUAAAUAAACUACGAAAAUAUAUACAUGUAUGUGAAAAUAUGUAUGAAUUAUAAAAUGGAAAAAUGUAUAUGUAUUAUAAAAUGUAAAUUUAUAUACAUAUAUAAACUAUAUAUAAAAAACUAAGAAGAUAAUAUAGUAAUAAAAUAUAUAAAAUAUGUACACGUAUUUUAAAAACAUUUAAAAUAUAUAUACCUAUAUAAAAUGCAAACAUAUGCGUGUAUAUAUGUAUAAUAAUAAUAAUAAUAAUAAUAAUAAUAGUAAUAUAUAAUAUAAUAACAAAAAUAACAGCAACUUAAUAACAAGAACAAUAUUACAAACUAAUAUAUAAUCUAAUUUGUAAAAGCAAAUACAAUGGACUAAAUUUGAAUCAAAACAGAAUUAAAACACAAAAUCAAAUUAAAGCAGAGGAUGAAUUCGCAAAAUGCGUGCAACAUGGAGGGCCAGAAGGGAAAUUAAUCCCUCCCUUCCAAAACGUUGUGCAGCAUGGGAUUAAAAUAGAACAGAUUUAAUAUGUCAUGGAAAAAUUUGAAAACGAUAAAAACAAUGGUUUUGAAAUGAUGGGAAACAUGAAAGGAUUAAAAACGAAAAUAACCCAUCAAUGUUUAAAAGUUAAAAUCCAUUUCAUUUGCAGCCAAUAAAACUCAUUCAAACCCUAAAAAUAACUCUACUCUGCCACUUUUGAAAUUGCCGCAGCUCCUCUCCCUCUAUGCCAUUUCAGACUCCUUUCACUCCGAUAACGACAAAACGGAGAGGUCUCCCGACGACCCUCACGAUAGUAAGUCCUCCUUUGCUUAUCCUUUUCUUUUUGUUUAUUAUUAUUUUUUAAAAGGAGAAAGAAAAGAAGAAGAUAGCAAAAUAAUAAUAAAAAACCAGUAAAAUCAAAGAAAAAUCGGAAAAAAAAUAAAAUCACCUUUUGAAAAAUAUUCUUUGUAUUCUCAAUAUUCUCUCUGUUUUCGAAUAUAUUUUACACCGAAAAAAAUCCCUCCCCCCCUUGUUACAGACUUUCAUCAGCUUUAUAUAGCCGAUUAAAACUAAAAAUCUGGAAAAAAAAAAUCAAAAACCCCUCUUCUUUCUGUUAUUUGCUGUGCUUGUGUCCCCCUUUUUCGCAGGUUUGGUGACCGUGGAGUGCGCGCGACGGGCGCGGAGCGACAAACACGGUGUGCGGGCACUGUUGCGGCGUGCGUGUGGGAGCUGCUGCGCCUAGGCUUCUUGCUGGUGUUUUGGGCCAUUUUCUGUUGGACUAGGGUUGAAAUUGGCUAUUGGGUUUUAAUUUUAUUGGGCCUGCUAUUGUAUUUUAUUAUUGAUUGGGCAGGGCAAAUAAUUGGUAUUACAAUAUUCUUACAUUCUUAAUGCCUUUUGGAAUAGGAAAAAAAACAUAAAGUAACACUACCAUAUAAAAAUGAUUUUGAUGAAAGAAAAUUUUAGACAAAAGUAAGUCCAAUACAAAUGAACAAAGAAAUAGAAGAAUUUUGUAAAAAAGAAAUACAAGAUUUUCUCAAUAAAAACUUAAUUAGAUAGAGCAACUCUCCUUGAAUUUGUUUAGCAUUUUACGUGAUGAAAAAUGCAGAACUCAAAAGAGGAACCCCAAGAUUAGUCAUUAAUUACAAACCUCUCAAUCAAGCUUUAGAAUGGAUUAGAUACACAAUCCCAAAUAAAAAUACUGAUUGCAAAAACUAUUCAAUGUCAAUUUUUUUUAAAAUUUGACUUGAAAUCGUGAUUUUGGGAAAAUCAAAUAAAAGAAGUUGAAAGAUACAAAACGACAUUUGUUGUACCAUUUGAGCAAUACGAAUGGAACGUAAUACAUCUUGGACUAAAAAUACUCCAUCUAAAUUCAUAAAAAUUAUGAAUGAUAUUUUUAAUCCAUAUUCUCAAUUUACAAUAGUAUACAUUGAAGAUGUAUUAAUGUUUUUUGAUAAUUUAGAAAAACACUUCAAACACUUAUCCUUUUUUGUCAAAGUUAUAAAAAAACAAUGGUUUAGUAGUAUCUAAAUCCAAGAUUAGUUUGUUUCAAACCAGAGUAAGGUUUUUAGGUCAUUAUGUUACCCAAGGGAUCAUUACUCCAACAGAAAGAUCUAUAAAAUUUUCCAGCAAAUUUCCAAAUCAAAUCCUUGAUAAAGUCCAACUACAAAGACUCUUAAGUAGCCUCAAUUAUGUCAUAGAUUUUUAUCCCGAUUUUAGAAAAUUAUGUAAGCCCUUGUAUAAAAAGCUCAAUAAGAAUCCACAACCUUACAAAUGUUCACACUUAGCUGAUCCAAUCGCCCCCAAAAUAGUAGAAACAAAUGCUUCUGAGAUAGGGUAUGGUAGGAUUUUAAAACAAGUCAAAUGAGAUAGGGUAUGGUAGGAUUUUAAAACAAGUCAAAUGAGGAAAAGAACAAACAAUCCACUUUACAUCUUGACACUGAAUCAACUCACCAAAAUUAUAGUACAAUUAAAAAAAAAUUAUCAAUUGUUUUAUGUAUUACAAAAUUUCAAAGUGAUUUAUUAAAUCAAUUUUUUUUUUACAAAUUGAUUGCAAAUCAACAAAAAGAGUUUUACAAAAAAAUGAUCAAAAUAUUGUCUCAAAACAAAUGUUUACAAUAUGACAAGGAAUUUUAAGUAUAUUUGAUUUUGAAAUUAAAUAUAUCAAAAGAGAAACUAAUUUUUUGCUUGAUUUUCUCACAAAAGAAUUCCUUCAAAUAUAACCCAAAACUCGAAGACAAAGGAAAAGAAAAAGUAGAAGAAUCUUCCUAAAAAAAAAAUCCUCAAAACCCAUCAUAUCAUAGUAUGGAAUUUGCCUACAAGAAGAAAAUGAGGGAUCAUCAUCCUCAUCAAGAAUCUCUAAUAAUGCAUCCCUCCAAGAUGCACAAGAUCCAAAUGAAAUUAGUUCGCAAAUAAAAAAAAUGGAUUGAGUCUCUCUUUCAAUUCCCAGAAGUGGCAUUAGCUAUAGCCCAAUCCAAAGAGGAAACUCCUCUCUAACAAAUUGUUGUUGAAGCAAUCAAGAUUUUAAAAAAUAGAGAGAUAGUUUUACACAAACCAAAAUCUCUCAAAAAUAUUUCAAAAGAAACAUCUCUUCAAGAGAUUUUUCCAAAAGAAGUACCAUCUUCACAGACUGUUGCACAAAAAUCCUUACAAUAUUUUACAAAAAAUGAUUUGAAAAUUUUUUCGCAAUCCGUUUCUUUUCAAAAUUGUGUAUUUCUUAGAUUUUCUUUCCUGGAAUUAUGCUUAUGAACAAGAUCAAUACAUGAGAAUCUCAUUGUUAGUUCGAAAUUUCAGAAAGAAAUUGUGAGACAAAUUCAAUGAUGAAAAAAAAUGAUUCCAAGUAUUUGUAUGAUCUUUUCAACAAAAACCCAAGGUUAUGCAAAUUCGUUGCCCCAAAUCAAACUACUACAAAGUUCUUUCAAGCCAAAUCAACUACCAACACAAUGUUGGCUUAGGCCAAAGAAGUAUUGUUUUGCAACCUUUAGAAAAUUCCCAGCAAAGCAAAGACAAAGAUGAACAAGGGUGAUUCAUUACAAAACAAAGACAAAGAUGGACAUGAGUGAACAAGAGUGAUUCCCUGCAAAAGAUGGAGAACAAUAGUAAAGAUUCUCUGCAAAGAAAAGACGGAGAUUAGUAAUAAAGAUUCUCUGCAAAAAAAAAAGACAUAGAUCAACAGUAAAGGUUCUAUGCAAAGAAAAGACGGAAAACAAUAGUAAAGAUUUUCUGUAAAAGUUUUGUAAUCAGAAAAUAUAUUCUCUGCGAUUGUAAUUAUAGUCUAGAAAAUAGUAAUUGUAUAAUCCUUGUAAUAAUGUAAGGGAUCAGAUUCCCCAAAGAAAGACGUUGUAAAGAGGUAAGAACCCUCCAUAAAAAGCUCUAAGUUUUAUAAUGAAAGGCACAACUUUGAAUACGAUUCAAUACACGACCCAAAAUACGACUCAAAAUCCUUUGAGACAAAUUUUUCCAAAAUUUUCUAACUUUCAAAAAUUUAAGUUUUUGUUUUUCAAAAAUUUAAGUAAAUCAAAAUUAAAUUUAAAAAUUUCGAGGUUUUUUUUUCAAAAAUUUAAAUUUAUAACAAAUCAAUUUUAAGUUUUCAAAAAAAUUAAGAUUUAAAUUAUUAUUUUCAUACACUUCCAUCCGAUCCUCAGAUCCUCGGGACUGGUCUACAUAUAUAUAUUUAAUAUUUAUUUUAUAUAUUUUAAUUUUGACAUAAUGAUUUAUUUAGCCCUACAACUUUAUAAAAAAAAUAUCUUUAACUCUCUAUUUAAUUUUCGUCAUUUUUAGCUUUUAAACUUGGGUAAUUUAUCAAAUUUCCACCAAAGCCAUAAUUGAUUGAAGAGAAAGAAAGGGAAUAUUUUGGGUUUCUCUAGUGAAAUAAGAUCAAAAAGUAUAGGCAAAAGACUGUAGUGACUUUGGUGAUGAAUAUGAGAAGCUUUUUAUCUGGGUUUGUUUGGAAUUUAAAUGUUAUACUUGAUUUAAUGACGAAGAAAAAAAAGAUUUGGGUUUCUUGAAAAAAAAUUCUUUUUUGCAUUUGUUUUACUAGUUUAUCAUUGUAAGAUGAUAUGAGAUUGAAGGAUUUUUCACCUAAAUAAUAUUUUUUUAAAAAUACUGAAAUGGUAUGUUUCAAAAAUUAUGUACCAAAAUGGUACAUUCAAUGGGGUGGAGGGUGGUGCAUAGGCGGCACCACCCUGGUAUUCUGAUAAAAUUUUCAUGAAAACAAAAAUAAAAAAUAAAAAAAUGGUAUUCUAAUGCAUUUUGAAUAAAGAAUAGUCUCAGUCAUUUAAGAUUGACAAAGAAAAUUAGAACCCAAUACGUUAGGGCUCAAUUUCCCUCAAAAAUCCCAAACCUCAAAUAAUGCUUUUAUUCAAAAAAAAACCUUUAAAUCAAGAAAAUAACCUUGAUGAAUGGUUAAAACCAAAAAAUAUUUUCAAAAGGGUAUGUUAAAGUUAUUAUACAAUAUGAUACAGAUCCUUUAAUUUACAGCAUAUACGAAUAAAUAUUCGCAAAUAUAUAUAUACAAAUACAAUAUAUCAGUAAAGUUGCAAACAUAUGUACACAUAUAUCAAACACACAUACCAGCAUACAUCUAAAAAGAGAGAAUGGAAUAUAUCAAAUAAAACAAAUACAAAUACAUGUGUUGAAAACAAAAUAAAAGUAUAAAAAUACGCAUAUAUAUAUUUACAAAGAAAAACAAAACAAUAUAUAUAAUAUAUAAAUAAACUACGAAAAUAUAUACAUGUAUGUGAAAAUAUGUAUGAAUUAUAAAAUGGAAAAAUGUAUAUGUAUUAUAAAAUGUAAAUUUAUAUACAUAUAUAAACUAUAUAUAAAAAACUAAGAAGAUAAUAUAGUAAUAAAAUAUAUAAAAUAUGUACACGUAUUUUAAAAACAUUUAAAAUAUAUAUACCUAUAUAAAAUGCAAACAUAUGCGUGUAUAUAUGUAUAAUAAUAAUAAUAAUAAUAAUAAUAAUAGUAAUAUAUAAUAUAAUAACAAAAAUAACAGCAACUUAAUAACAAGAACAAUAUUACAAACUAAUAUAUAAUCUAAUUUGUAAAAGCAAAUACAAUGGACUAAAUUUGAAUCAAAACAGAAUUAAAACACAAAAUCAAAUUAAAGCAGAGGAUGAAUUCGCAAAAUGCGUGCAACAUGGAGGGCCAGAAGGGAAAUUAAUCCCUCCCUUCCAAAACGUUGUGCAGCAUGGGAUUAAAAUAGAACAGAUUUAAUAUGUCAUGGAAAAAUUUGAAAACGAUAAAAACAAUGGUUUUGAAAUGAUGGGAAACAUGAAAGGAUUAAAAACGAAAAUAACCCAUCAAUGUUUAAAAGUUAAAAUCCAUUUCAUUUGCAGCCAAUAAAACUCAUUCAAACCCUAAAAAUAACUCUACUCUGCCACUUUUGAAAUUGCCGCAGCUCCUCUCCCUCUAUGCCAUUUCAGACUCCUUUCACUCCGAUAACGACAAAACGGAGAGGUCUCCCGACGACCCUCACGAUAGUAAGUCCUCCUUUGCUUAUCCUUUUCUUUUUGUUUAUUAUUAUUUUUUAAAAGGAGAAAGAAAAGAAGAAGAUAGCAAAAUAAUAAUAAAAAACCAGUAAAAUCAAAGAAAAAUCGGAAAAAAAAUAAAAUCACCUUUUGAAAAAUAUUCUUUGUAUUCUCAAUAUUCUCUCUGUUUUCGAAUAUAUUUUACACCGAAAAAAAUCCCUCCCCCCCUUGUUACAGACUUUCAUCAGCUUUAUAUAGCCGAUUAAAACUAAAAAUCUGGAAAAAAAAAAUCAAAAACCCCUCUUCUUUCUGUUAUUUGCUGUGCUUGUGUCCCCCUUUUUCGCAGGUUUGGUGACCGUGGAGUGCGCGCGACGGGCGCGGAGCGACAAACACGGUGUGCGGGCACUGUUGCGGCGUGCGUGUGGGAGCUGCUGCGCCUAGGCUUCUUGCUGGUGUUUUGGGCCAUUUUCUGUUGGACUAGGGUUGAAAUUGGCUAUUGGGUUUUAAUUUUAUUGGGCCUGCUAUUGUAUUUUAUUAUUGAUUGGGCAGGGCAAAUAAUUGGUAUUACAAUAUUCUUACAUUCUUAAUGCCUUUUGGAAUAGGAAAAAAAAC